AACGAACGCUGGCGGCAGGCCUAACACAUGCAAGUCGAGCGAGCACUUCGGUGCUAGCGGCGGACGGGUUAGUAACGCGUGGGAACGUGCCCAAAGGUACGGAAUAGCCUCGGGAAACUGAGAGUAAUACCGUAUGUGCCCUACGGGGGAAAGAUUUAUCGCCUUUGGAUCGGCCCGCGUUGGAUUAGGUAGUUGGUGGGGUAAUGGCCUACCAAGCCGACGAUCCAUAGCUGGUUUGAGAGGAUGAUCAGCAACACUGGGACUGAGACACGGCCCAGACUCCUACGGGAGGCAGCAGUGGGGAAUCUUAGACAAUGGGGGAAACCCUGAUCUAGCCAUGCCGCGUGGACGAUGAAGGCCUUAGGGUUGUAAAGUCCUUUCAGCUGGGAAGAUAAUGACGGUACCAGCAGAAGAAGCCCCGGCUAACUCCGUGCCAGCCGCCGCGGUAACAC
rnacentral:rRNA from 1 species